rnacentral:rRNA from 1 species
CACGUAGGGGGCGAGCGUUGUCCGGAUUUAUUGGGCGUAAAGAGCUCGUAGGCGGCUCAGUAAGUCAGGUGUGAAAACUCCAGGCUCAACCUGGAGACGCCACCUGAUACUGCUGUGGCUAGAGUCCGGUAGGGGAGCAUGGAAUUCCUGGUGUAGCGGUGAAAUGCGCAGAUAUCAGGAGGAACACCAAUGGCGAAGGCAGCUCGCUGGGACGGUACUGACGCUGGAGACGCGAAAGCGUGGGGAGCAAACAGG